CGCAUGCGCAGAAUCGGCUUGACGCCUCGGGGCGGGGCUUGUGGCUACGUACGUAUGUGCUACGCAUCCGGCCCCGGAAGGUGGGUUCAUUUCCGGCCCGCGCGGCGCGCUGGAGCGGCGGUGGCGGUGCGGGGCCUUCGCCGGGAGCCGUUCGGGCCGGGACGUGCGGCGGCGCUGGGUUCAUCCGGAAUUGUACGUUGACAAAUCAAGGGGAGCUGAACUGAAGGUCAGUCUAGAUGUUACUUUUCCACAUAUUCCUUGUGCUUGUGAGUCGCACUGCUGACUGUGGAGGGAUAACUUUUAGUACUUGCCGAGGGCUCAUGAGGCUCCGUGGGCCCGCUGCUUCCGAGUGCUGCGCUGCUGCUUGGGCAAUAAUUGGACCUUAAUGCCAAUGCCACGUGUUAGCCUUUCUCCAGAAGUUAUAAAAGCAGAAUGAGCGUUAAGAAUCUGAUUGCCUUUUAACUAAAUUCAAAACCAAGUUGCGGGAUGAAGUGACUGGAAGUCCUGCAGUCUUCAGUACUGGUGUGCUAAAGAUAUUGUUUUCUUUACAGGAUUUAUUGGUUCUUGAAGAACAAGAGGUAAAUGUAAACUUUUCACUCCUAGCACGUACUUAGUGACUUGUAACAACAGUGUCUUAGGGUGUCAAGUUGAAAAAAAAAAAGAUUCUGGUAAUUGUAGGCAAACAGCUGAAAACUUAACAUUCUGCUUAAGGCCAGAAAAAAAUCAGAAUCUGUUUUUUGGCAAUUGUUCAUUGAAAUGCAUACUUUGGGUGAUAACGCAAACUGUCAGCAUUCCUAGAGUUGUAUGUGUGUGCACAGUACCGUGUAACAUACUGCCUGUGUGACUGAGAGCUGCCCGGAGAGUGUGAUGUGAGGCAUGCGGUGUCACUGAAGCGAAUGGGGAGUCCUGAUCUGCGUGUCAGUGUUCCCUGCGAGGGGACAGACAGAGCGAUUGAAAAAUCAAUUUAUGAAGUGUUGGAAUGCAUCAUUAGAAAUUAAGAGCCGGAGACUGUGGACAAAACAUUAGAACUAACAUCAUUUGGAAAAAGCACGAAUUAGCCUCUGCCCCUAGUGUCGUAGGUGCUGUCUGUCUAUUCGAGCAAAGGGUGGCAAGUGUCUAAGAUAAAUUAUCUCCUCGGAAAAAUAUUAUUACGGAUACGUGAAGAAAACUGAACAUAGGUGUUUGGAUUUGUGGAUGGGCAGUUGUUUUUUCAGAUGUGAAAUGGAGUUUUCCCUUUAGACUCGAAAAGUUGAAGGCCAGAAAACCUGGUGGAGGCCCAAACUGAGGUACGUUUGGGCCCUGAAACUCAGCAGAGGCCCUAAAUAAGGUAAGCGUAGGGCCUGAAAUGCAGCGAAGGCGUGAGCAACAGGCCCUGAACAACAGUUGACCUUUAGGUGGCAUCGCCGACUGAGUGUUACAGGGAUAUAUAUACACAUGUAUUUAGUAUUGGCUCUGUAGCAGAAUGUGUGUGGUCCUUGGCAAGCUAUGCGUGAUCCUUAGCGAAAGGUGUAGCUUGGCUAAACUAGAAUCAUGAGGGAAGAGAGAGUGCCUCUUGCUUAGAGGCGGGUGGCCAAGGCCGUGGAUCCAGCUGCCUGGCUCUGUUCGGAACGGGGUGGUCAAAGUGCAGUAGAUACAGGAAUCUCCCUCAGGUCCUCCCUAAGCCCUGGCCAGGCUUUGGUGGGAUCCGAGAGGCAAGCGAAACCGGGUGCUUCCGCAUUUGCAGUGAGGUGAGCUUGUUUAUUCCAUAGCACAAAACUGGACCCUCUUGCAGCGACUUUGGAGACCUCAGCUACGAGGGGACGCCCUGCGCAGCACUUCCCAUUGCCGGGAGAGGCUCUCCAAAUCCUCGCUGCAAGAGGGGCUCCCCAGUGCCUGCGCAUCUGGAGGAUGGUAACGUACUGGGGCAACUGGAAUAGGUAUCGUUCUUCAUCGCCGUAGCUAACCUGCGGUAGGACUGAUGAGGUGCGUUGCCUCGCUUAUCUGUUCUUCUGCCUGAAUGAGGGUCUUGUAGGUGAAUUCUUUUGUACGCGUGUAUUGUAUUAAUCUGUAUGAAUUGAAAACCAAGUGAAUAAAAGCUAUUUCCCA